GAUCUCUCCUCAGCCCACGUGUGCCAUGAGUUCCUCUGGAGCACGAUCACCAGCCUCUGAGAAUAUGAACAUCUCAGAGAGUAAAGAACACAAGAUUUAAGCAUCCAAUACUUGUGCUGGAAAUAUUACACUGUUUAUCCGUGGGCUCCAUCAGCCUCUGCAAACUCAAGGGGACAAGCCAAAGGCUGCAGAGACACCAAACAUAAAACAAACUGUGCUCCUAAAACGAGAUGAGGACUGAUUCUGUACACACACACAGCAACUCAGCACUCGGAUCACAAGGAACACAGGACAUGCAAUCCUUGUCCCUGCUCAUUGUUUGCUGCUCCCUUCUGCUUGGACCCAGCUGGAAUGUGCUGCUGUGCAUCACACAAACCCCUCUGCUCCGGGGCUCCCUGAUCACUGCCAUGAAGAUCCAUCAUCCUACACCACCCCUUUCCAGCCCCAUCCAAGAGGGAUCUCCCCCUCCUCUGCACCAGGACAGACAGGCAGGUCUGGAAAAGCCACACAGGACUUGCACCCUCCCCCUGCAACCUCAUGGGAAGAAAAGCAGAGGCUCUGGAAGGCAAAUCACCAGACUCUGAGCUCAGCCAUCAGAGGAGUGAGGAACCCUCACUCACCACAGAAUUAUCAAUGGACCGAGGGACAGGGGAGCAAUUCAUGGUUCCAGCCUGACUUGGAAAUGAUGAAUAAAAACCCUC
rnacentral:lncRNA from 1 species